AUUUAAGGUGGGAUAUUCCUUAGAUAAUCAAAUACUUAACAAAAACAAAAGAUGCAUAGGUUACAAGCCAUUUUUUGAAAUAAAGCAAAGCUUAAAACAUCAAAGCAAGUCAAUCCAAGUCUCAUCCAAGGAAUUUACUCAUCCAACAAAGCUAGAUUUCGAGUCCUCAGCUUUCUUGGAAGAAUUACCUUCUUCACUUUCCUUUACAACUAUAUCCAUCUGCAUAACUAGUUUGGAUUUCUCUGACUCGAACUAUCUUGCUUCCUUGAAACCCAUGAGAAAACACCAGGCCCCAUUAAGAAUGCAUAUCCAAUGAUACUCUUCACAUUACCAGGACAUCCUGCAUAAUCACUAUAUGAAAAUCCCUGCGGUAUCCUGCAUAAUCACUAAUGAAAAUCCCUGCGGCGUUCAAUUUUCUGCAGAUGCAUACCAUAUGCCAUAAUCUGGGGUAACCUUCACAUACUUUAACACCCUUUUAACUGCAAUCAAGUGAUUUGACCUAGAGAUUGCAUAUAUCUAGAUAAAACACUGGCAAUAAACAUCAAAUUUGGCCAAGAAGCUGUCAAAUAUAAGAGCUUCCCACUAAACUUCUGUAAUAACUUGAAUCAACUUCGUCACCCUUAGCAGUGGUGGAAAUUUUCAACGCUAAUUUAUAGAUAGACUUACUUUUCAUUUUAAAAAAUUAGCUAUGAGGAUUUUAGCAACGAAUUUGAAUAUGUCGCUAAUAAUUAUACAUUUAAUUACGUGGGCCUUUUAAUAAUUUUUAGAUGGUAAUUUUAGCUCACUUUGUUGGGUUUCUCCUUUGGCAUUAAAAUGCAAUUGCUUAUGAA
rnacentral:misc_RNA from 1 species